UCUGCAGGAUAUGUCAUUCUGGAAAUAUGUCUAUUAGCUGCAUUUAAAUCAAGCAAGCCUACAGAUUUCAACAGUUUCGCAGAUGUUUGUUAUUAUGCAAUGCAUCACGUGUCCCUCUCUGUAGUUCCAGACAGAUUUUGACAUGCUUGUUCCUCUCCAAAAGCUCCAGUGUGGUUUCUCUCUGACGUGUCAUCUGCUGGCAGGUGUUCAGAAAUGUGCUGUAUGUGCUUCUGAAUUACACAGCCCACAUCACUGUGCAGUAGAGGACCAAGGAACAGGGUGCAAACAUGAAAGAGAGAAGUGGAGUUUUUCUCAUGUGGAAAAUGCUGCUGGUGGGGAUGUGCCUGCUGCUGCUCCUGAGCUCUGCAGGUUUAGUGUUUCUGUUGUUUCGGCAGAAAGAGUUGGCAGACGAGCUGGGCAAGCUGGAGUCCCAGAUGCAGGAGCUGACACAGAGCUGCAGCGUGCGAGCGGGAAUCCUGCCCACCAACCUGGGACAGGCCAGAGAGUUUAGGAAGCUCCACCGCAGCAGGAGAAACCAGGAAGGAGACCCAACACAAAGCCAAGAUCAGAAGGAUAUGCUGAUGCUCAUGACAUACUCUAUGGUCCCUGUCAAGCCUUCAUAGACAUGUGUAAUAGCUCCAGAGGAAUUUGUUUAACAGGCCCACCUGGACCCCAGGU